UUCAGUAAAUAUGUGCACCACCUCUUCCUCUUGUACAUGUUAAUGUUAUCCAGAAGUCUUAAUCUGAAAAGGUGACUCAAGUCGACUUGAUGUGGGAAAAUAGCUCAU